rnacentral:lncRNA from 1 species
UAUGAUUGCCUUGUCCUUGUAUGUAUCCCUUUUUGUAAAGAACAUGCUCUUUAAUAUUAUGUACAAAUUUUUGUUUAUCAAUGACAUACAAGUUUUUUGUGAAAUGAAUGAGUACAUUUUUGUGCUUAAAUAAUUGAAUGGAUGAUUGUAUAUUAUUACAAUGAAUAUGCUUGAUUGGCAUACAUUUUCUUGAAAUGUAGUGAUGAAUAAAUUAAUAAAUAUAACUCCAAUGGGAAGAAACUUUUGUUAACCUUUUGGAUUAUGACAAAAAGAGAGAGAAAUUAGGAGAAAUUUAGAGAGUACUACUAGAACAUAUUUCAAAAAAAUAGAGAAAAAAUUAGAGAAAUUUCAAAAAGGGG